rnacentral:tRNA from 1 species
AUCGCGAUAGCUCAGCUGGUGGAGUAUCUGCCCGGUGUGCGGAGGCUCGCCGGUUCGUUUCCGGCCCGCGGAC